rnacentral:lncRNA from 1 species
UGGAUGGAAGUUCUACCUCAUAUCCUCCAGCUCUGGGAAGACCCAGAGAGUCAAAGAAGGCUGCUGACAAAGUCAGCGUUAGCACAAAAGCUGAGCCCACGGAACCCCAUGGAUCUUUCUUUCCCCCCAGGGAGCUGCCCUGGGCUGGGCAGGUGUGUGGGCAUCCUGGGAGGAGGCCGGCAUUCUACACUAGAGAAUUAAAGGAGAGAACAAACCAAACAACCAGGUUUGGGCACGUCCUGUUUGUGGUGUCAAUCUCCGAGCCUGAGUUCGCAUGGCCCAGGCUCCUGCCAAGUUUCUGGAGGACUUGAGCGUGACCUCCCUUGACCUGGGCUUGUUUGGAUGGACUCUGUGGUUGAAGUCCAAGGAACAUCACGAUCAACUGGAGCCUCCUGGAGUCACCCGUCACUGUGUCCAGGGGACGUAGGCAGGUCAGCCUGAGCUCUAGGGCCCAGGCAGCUGUUGGGAGGCCUGACUGAGAUCCCCACUGGCUGCCAGCUGGGUGUUGUGCCUGUGGCAACCAAGAAGUCCUUCCCUGGCCUGAAGUCUUGCUGCCUAACUAGAAACCGCGUUCCUGUUCCGCAUUCUGCAAACAGAAAUCGCCCUGCUCCAAUGCUUCCAGACGGACCUGUGGCUGUGGCCCACUCCUCACCCUGUGUUGGAUGUUUUCUUUCUUUCUGCCCCUGUUCCCACAGGAGGCACCAGGCACAUCACAGCAAAGGGACACUGAGGGACACAUUUCAGAUCUGCAGCCAGGGCUCCUCCAGGUUCUCCUGUCAAUGCUGAUGACAGAUGAGAGAAUUCAGCGUCGUGAUCCUGGGAGACAUAACCGCCCCCCCGCCUCCGAGAAUCACUGAGUUUGGAGGGCCCUUCAGCAUGUUUUUAGGGGAGUCCUCCCAAUUUCAGGGCAGCAAACACCAAUGAGAUGAGACCCCUGUUUCCUGUUUGCCCCGGGACAGAGGACAUGUAGAAGAAGGACAUGUGCCCUGGGACAUUUGUGCUGCUGGGCAUUUGGGCCACUAGGGCAGGGUUGGUGGAACACAAAGCCAGGCAUCCAGGUGACAAUAGAGCAGACCUGGUUGGAUGCAGAGGGACACAAAGGACUUAGACUCCAUUCACCAAGGAGCAUGAAGGACUUAACACAGUAAUAACAAGCAGUACGCAGCCAUGAGAAAAUGAGAGGUAAAAAUAAAAUAAUAAAUGUGAAUGGA